AAUGAAGUGCCUGAAAAAGGGUUAUCUUGAUAGGAUAAAACAUGUAGAGCCAGACCUACCUUCAUUA
rnacentral:tRNA from 1 species